AUUGAACGCUGGCGGCAGGCCUAACACAUGCAAGUCGAGCGGAUGAGAAGAGCUUGCUCUUCGAUUCAGCGGCGGACGGGUGAGUAAUGCCUAGGAAUCUGCCUGGUAGUGGGGGACAACGUUUCGAAAGGAACGCUAAUACCGCAUACGUCCUACGGGAGAAAGCAGGGGACCUUCGGGCCUUGCGCUAUCAGAUGAGCCUAGGUCGGAUUAGCUAGUUGGUGAGGUAAUAGCUCACCAAGGCGACGAUCCGUAACUGGUCUGAGAGGAUGAGCGGUCACACGGGGACUGAGACACGGACCAGACUCGUAGGGGAGGCAGCAGUGGGGAAUUUUGGACAAUGGGCGAAAGCCUGAUCCGGCCAUGCCGCGUGUGUGAAGGAGGUCUUCGGAUUGUAAAGCACUUUAAGUUGGGAGGAAGGGCAGUAAGUUAAUACCUUGCUGUUUUGACGUUACCGACAGAAUAAGCACCGGCUAACUCUGUGCCAGCAGCCGCCGUAAAAC
rnacentral:rRNA from 1 species